UACGUAGGGUGCGAGCGUUAAUCGGAAUUACUGGGCGUAAAGCGUGCGCAGGCGGUUUUGUAAGCCAGAUGUGAAAUCCCCGGGCUUAACCUGGGAAUGGCAUUUGGGACUGCAAGGCUUGAGUGCGGCAGAGGAGACUGGAAUUCCUGGUGUAGCAGUGAAAUGCGCAGAUAUCCGGAGGAACACCGAUGGCGAAGGCAGGUCUCUGGGCCGAUACUGACGCUGAGGAGCGAAAGCGUGGGGAGCGAACAGG
rnacentral:rRNA from 1 species